CCCAAAAGAGGGGGAAAACACUUUCAAAAAGGUGCUAAUACCGCAUAACCAUAGUUACCGCAUGGUAACUAUGUAAAAGGUGGCUAUGCUACCGCUUUUGGAUGGGCCCGCGACGCAUUAGCUAGUUGGUGGGGUAAAGGCUUACCAAGGCAAUGAUGCGUAGCCGAACUGAGAGGUUGAUCGGCCACAUUGGGACUGAGACACGGCCCAAACUCCUACGGGAGGCAGCAGUAGGGAAUCUUCCACAAUUUUUUUUAGCCUGAUGGAGCAACGCCGCGUGGGUGAAGAAGGUCUUCGGAUCGUAAAAUUUUUUUGUUAGAGAAGAAAGUGCGUGAGAGUAACUGUUCACGUUUCGACGGUAUCUAACCAGAAAGCCACGGCUAACUACGUGCCAGCAGCCGCGGUAAUACGUAGGUGGCAAGCGUUAUCCGGACUUAUUGGGCGUAAAGGGAACGCAGGCGGUCUUUUAAGUCUGAUGUGAAAGCCUUCGG
rnacentral:rRNA from 1 species